rnacentral:rRNA from 1 species
GACGAACGCUGGCGGCGUGCCUAACACAUGCAAGUCGAACGGUCCGGCACUCAACCGACCCUCAGUCUAACUGUAGGGGAAGUUGAGUGCCGGAUAGUGGCGGACGGGUGAGUAACGCGUGGGCAACCAACCCUGUACAGUGGGAUAACACCGGGAAACCGGUGCCUAAUACCGCAUGAUACUUAAACAGUGCAUACUGAUUAGGUUAAAGGAUUUAGCCGGUACAGGACGGGCCCGCGUCCCAUUAGCUAGUUGGUGAGGUAACGGCUCACCAAGGCGACGAUGGGUAGCCGACCUGAGAGGGUGACCGGCCACACUGGGACUGAGACACGGCCCAGACUCCUACGGGAGGCAGCAGUAGGGAAUAUUGGGCAAUGGGCGAAGCCUGACCCAGCCAUGCCGCGUGAAGGAAGACGGCCUUAUGGGUUGUAAACUUCUUUACUAUGCGACUAACUAGAUUUACGAGAUAAUUCUAUAGAAUGUAGCAUAGCAAAAAGCACCGGCUAACUCCGUCC